CAACCCUCAAGCACUGCUUGGUGUUGGGGCGCUACCGCCCGUCCCAGGGCGGUAGGCCCCCAAAUUCAUCGGCGAGCCCGCCAGGUCCCCGAGCGCAGUAGUAUUCUCCUCGCUCCGGGCGCACCUGGCGGCGCGCUGCCGCUAAGCCCUCCCGGCCGCCCCCCAGCCGGGGCGCCGGGAGAACCCCCGCACGCAA
rnacentral:misc_RNA from 1 species